GUCAGCGACCCCCGGCUAAAGCCGGGAGCUUGUAAAGGCUCAUGCUGACCAGCCUAUGUCUGCUUAAGCAGACGCCGUUACGGGUGAAUGGCAACCAUAGGUUGCUUGAUAGGCACUCCGGGGUGACUGAACCAGCCCCGGACCCUGCG
rnacentral:ncRNA from 10 species